rnacentral:hammerhead_ribozyme from 1 species
GUGCUGAUGAAGAGUCCCAUACUAGGACGAAACAGCUAUCCAGUAC